CAACCUGCGAAGGACAAAUGCUUAGUCAUUAGCUGCCCUGCAGAUGCAGGCUCAGGGCAUAAGGCUCCAACACUGGGCACAUCAUCUUGGUGAUUUGCCAGUUAAAUUGAAUAUUAACUAAGCCUCAGAACUGAGUCCUUCAAACAUCUGUUGGCAUCAGUGUGGUGAAUUAAUCUUAAAUUCAAGAUGAUCUAGAUCUCUGCCCAGGACAACUGUACAAAAACAAGAUGUAAACCCCAAGUUUAGUUUGGAGGUGGCCCAGGUCCAGCUUUAAUGCUAAACAUGGCACUCUUCACCUCCAGGACAAGGCUCCCCUUCCUCAGUUCUGCACAACUAGACUCCACUGACAACUCCUGAGACUACGAUAUUAAAAUAGUGUCAGACAGUUCAUUUUCCUUUAGAAGUACAAAAGGUAGACAACUCCCUUCUUUUUGGAACUCUCCUCCUAGCAACAGCAAGUUCAGACAGUUGUUCCUGAUGGAACUUUGCUGACACUGACUAAUAGCUGAGCAAUCCAAUUCUGCAGGGAGCAGAGAAGUGAGUGGGAGCUGGUUCCUGCUCACAGCUUCCCUCCUCCCUGAGAGGACUCAUCAGGCAGACAUCUACACAGGCUAAACAGUCCUGCUACAUCAGGAGAAAAAAAGGCAGAAGUCCUACUAUUUCAUCUGUCUUCCAUGAGAGGAACAUUCAGCCUCAAGAAAACAAAUGUAAGAACAGGAAGUCAGGCUAACAGGUGUCUUCAACACUUUUUAAAUUUCAAUUGUACCACAGAUCCCAAAUGAAGUUCUAAUAUUUUAUGAAAAUUCCCAUCUUUACAUACCAACUAAGUGAAGUUAGAAGACAGUGUAAUGCAAGGUUGAAUUCUGAUGAGAUGCCUUACCUCU